GUAACAAGGUUUCCGUAGGUGAACCUGCGGAAGGAUCAUUAAAGAAUUUAGGCUUAAACCGCCAUAUUCUCACCCUUUGUAUACCUAUACUAUGUUGCCUUGGCAGGCUGGCAGCAGCCUGCCGGUGGACCUCAACUCUUGAAUCUCUGCUGUCUGAGUACUAUAUAAUAGUUAAAACUUUCAACAACGGAUCUCUUGGUUCUGGCAUCGAUGAAGAACGCAGCGAAAUGCGAUAAGUAAUGUGAAUUGCAGAAUUCAGUGAAUCAUCGAAUCUUUGAACGCACAUUGCGCCCUCUGGUAUUCCAGGGGGCAUGCCUGUUCGAGCGUCAUUACAACCCUCACGCCUAGCGUGGUCUUGGGCUCGCCCUGUAGGGCCUGCCUCAAAGUCAGUGGCGGCGUCGUCUGACCCCUAAGCGUAGUAACAUACACCUCGCUUUUGGGCGCUGGAUGGAGGCCUGCUAUGAACCCCCAAUUUUACAGGUUGACCUCGGAUCAGGUAGGGAUACCCGCUGAACUUAAGCAUAUCAAUAAGCGGAGGAAAAGAAACCAACAGGGAUUGCCCCAGUAACGGCG
rnacentral:rRNA from 1 species